GGGGAUGACAGGCAUAGACAUAUGAUCUACUUCUUUUUGCGCAUUGUGGAACUCCAGUACUUCCUUAAACUGCUGGAACAAUUAAGUGCAAAAACCUUAAUUUCAAAGGCCAAGUCCAUCGUCUCACCAUAUUUUGGUGAACGUGAGCUCGCUUUCGCUUACGCUUCGGCGUAGGUGACGCUUAUCUUUCCGACGUCCGAUAGGGAUACAUAAGUGUUAUACAAUCGGAAUCGAGUGUGUUCCUUUCUCGGCUCACACUUUAACUAAAGAGAAUCGGCACUUGAGAUAUUCUGCUACUCUUAUAGUCUCCGUGCUUAACGUCCGCAAGGACAAAAGAGUACCUAUACAAUGUAGACCCAGAAAAAAGAAUUAUGUGCACGGGAGUUCAAUUCUCCCCUUCUCCACAU
rnacentral:tmRNA from 1 species